GAAGUGGGUCCCCCAUUCUUACCGCCGGAUCAAUAUGGAUCCACAAGUUGUUCCCCAGAUUAUUAUCAUGGAUGUUUAGUUAUCUGACCAAUUCGCUACUUCAUUGUCUUGAAUCUCUGGGAUUCUGUUUAGUCCCAGAAUUGAUUUAGUUGGCUUGGUCUAGAAGGGAGGUUCGGUCUAAUUUAGGGCGUCGUGAUAGUAGGCCUAACCUGAUAGGCCAACCACUAUGAUUAAGACAAGUCGACCAAGUGAAUCCAAUACAAUUGGGUUAGACUGACCACGAUGGUUCGAUAAAAGUUAGACUUAAUUAAUUGACAGAUCAACACAACAAAUCAAGUCUAAUGGAUCAACCCACGGUUGUCAAGACAAAACUUGGCCUUGACUGUUAUUGAAUAGGCUAAUCGAGUUGUAGCCUGAGUUGGAUACAAGGACAAUUUGUUUAUUUUUGUUUUGUUUUAUUUUAUUUGUGAGUUUGUUUGUUUCCUCAACAUUGUCGGCCAAAAAAGUACAAUAAAUCUAAUGGUUGGGCAAUUAAUCGCCAAUGCCUUGGAAGGGGAGCCCGAGAGGGGACAGUGCUCCAGCUCCAAAGCCAAUUGGCGUUUCAAGUUGCACCAAGAAAGGCGCACCGUCACUUCUUUUCCUACCGUUGCUAUUUUCUACACACUGCUCUGCGGGCCAAAUCAAAUGGCUCCUUGUGCUUGGACUCUGUCGCUGGUUCGUGAGCCGUAGGACCGGGGCACGGACACCUCUCGCCUGCCACUGUGCGCAUGUGAGUCGGUGGGAACGAGCGCACAGCAGGCAGUGAUACGGCAAGGUGUCAGACAUGGCACACAACUGACUCAUCGCAUACAAUUCCACCUCUGCCAAACAUUUAAUUAAGAGAGAGAAGCGACUGCUUCUGUGUCUACCGGAUACUUUAGAUCACUGGCACAGGAGAAGGACGCAGAGAUAGUAAAAAGAGGCGCAGAGGUAGAUCAAAGGAUAGAGGAGCUCUGUGUUCGUCUCCGGCGAGGCUACUUCUCUCCUGCCGUUGGCUAACCUUGCGGCCCUCACUUUUGAGGAAGGUUACACGCAGUUCUUCAGACUCCAAUCUCUCUCUCGAUCAGAGAAAAGGUGCUGGAUUUGCGUCGCAAGACCUCUAUUUGCAUGGGUUCUUCAGCGCCUCCAUCAAGCUUCCCUCCGACUACGCGAGUUGUUGUCGCCUUCUAUAGGGGGGCACAGCACCAGCCCGACCCAGAUGCUCAGCAGGAGGAGACAGAGCAGGAUGAGUUUUUUCUCGCACUAUUUCCUGACGAGGCUGCUCCUGCCCCAGCACCAGCUCGAGCCCCACGUCCCGCUCCUCGCACUCUAGCCGAUCGAGUAUCCGGACUAGAGAGAGCUAUGUCGAGCCUCCAGCAGGAGUCUUCCGAGUUUCACCGAGACUUACGACGAGAGGUGCGACAGGAGGUCUCCGAUCUACGACGAGAUGUGCGGCAGGAGAUCUCCUACCUGCGACGAGACCUACGAGAGGAUGAUCGGACCCGACAUACUGAGCUGUUGGCAUUACUUCGUUCUCUGGGUUCCGGACCACCUCCUUCAUCAUCUCAGUAGUUAUGUUUGUUAUAUAACUCUGUUAUGAGACUAUUACAGAUCUUGUAGUACAUCUUGAUUAUUGAUUAUUGAUUAUC